AAGAUGCUAUAGUGUAGUUUGUGUAUGUGUGUGUGUGUGUAUGGAUGGAGUUCUAAGUAAAGACAUGGGAAGAUGGCAAAGGAGAUAGUGAUGAGAGUGAGAGCAUACAGUAUGAAAAUAAAGACUCAUUGGGAUCUAAAAUGAGUGUUAGGUGCCUCUUGUGCCUCCUUUUUGUCCGUUUGAGGAUACUACAGUCACCCCUGGUGGAGGUUCUUGGGACACUGUGAUUUAAGUCUGAGCAGAGGUUGACGAAAAACUUUGAAGGUGGUGGCGCUAUGUUGCGUGUUAUCUUGAAUACCAGGCAGAUGUUUGAGUACAGAAUGAAAUGGUGUAAACUUAACAGGCUAAACUUGUUGAGCACGCUGUUUGAGAAAGGGGUUCCAACAGGGUUAUUUGGCUGUUAACAAAGGAGAACUCUUUUUGGUUCCAUGUAGAAGGCUUUUUGGUUCCAUGUAGAACCCUCUGUGGAAUGGAGCCCAAAAGGGUUUUACCUAGACACAGAAGGGGUUCUACCUGGAACCAAAAAUUGUUCUCCUAUGGGGACAGCAGAAUAAUCCUGUUAGUUUGCAGAUAGCACCUUUUUAUCUGAGUAUAGGCCUAUAUUGCAGUGGUGGUUUUCUGUAAAAAAUGUAAUUAAUUGGUGGUGGUGAGUUAAGAUAUAUUCAGAAAUUCUAUGAAACAUCCCCACUUUUAGCACACAUUUGAAAGCAGGCAGAGCAACCUUCUAUGUGCGCUGAGGCAUGUGUGAUCACUCAACAUUGACAGGACCAACAAAAAAGACAUGCCCAAAUGCAAACAAAAGAUAACAUGUUUCUAACUUGCACCGUUGCGCAAUUAUUAAGCGACUAGAUACAAAUAGCUAAUCCUGGCUACCAAUGUUCUAGCAUUAAUUUAUUGAGGCAAGCAGAUCAGAGAUGUUAAGGUGGUACCCAAGCAUAUGCCAUGUGUAUAUGUGGCACAAACAUAUGUAUGGUCAUUUUAUUUUGUUUGUUAUUUUAUGGAGCCAUUUUCUAGGCCUCCCUGGUAUUUGCAUUUAAUUUAUUUAUAAAAUUACUGCCGCUAGUGGAAGCUGUGACGUCAAUGGAGUGCAUUAGUGAGAUCUUGGACAUUUCUUCUUCAUUCUUGGAGAAUGACUAGUUCUGAAAACUAACGUUUCUCCGUCUCAUCAAUUUACCCUAUAAAUUCAGAUGUAUGGUGACUCCACGUUUGGAUGAACGGACCAACGAGACUGCCAUGUGCAAAGACGGGUACCAGGAAUGGUGGAAGGACAAUCUGAAGGUCACUGAUACUCCACCUGAUGUGGUGGAAGUUGUCGAACCAGAUCAGAAUGCCUUCGAAGACCACCUUCAGGCACGGACUUAGAAGGAUGAGGAAGUUUUUUACCAGGUGAGACUGAACAUGGACAGGGUGCAUGAGAAAACGGAGAGCCACCGGAGGAGAAUCAAGGGGACUAAGUGCUUUGACAUCUGGGAAAAGGACUUGGCUUGAAAGGAAGACGAGACCCGGGAAAGCUUGGUGCUCUUUCGCUCCUAGCUGGGGUCACCAUCCGUUAAGAACCACACAAACUCUUAGUUAACACAAUUGUCAAGCCAUACUGUGCUGUUUUUGCUCUGUGAAUCAGCAUCAUUAAACAACCUCAACUGGCCUAUCAUCUGUGCCCUUACAAGCACCUGGGAGAGAACACAUAGUGCUAAGUAAAGUCCUCAACUACAUCCAGGACCUAGGGGUUCUGCCCAACACCCAGACAUGGAUCCACCUGAUGUCCUCCAUUACCAACCACCCUCCAACUUUUCAUUACAUCAGCUACUGUUAUUGUCAUUAUCUGCUAAGAAAAAGCAAGACAACUAUCAUACUGGGCUCAUAAUGUGAGAUACACAGAUUAGCUUAAAACACUAGCACUGCAAACACUCAGAACAAAGAGGGGAGCAGCGCCUGGACUUUGCAGUCUCCCUCUUUGAGUACAUUUUACAUUUUAGUCAUUUAGCAGACGCUCUUAUCCAGAGCGACUUACAGUAGAGUGCAUACAUUUUUAUUACAUUUUACAUACUGAGACAAGGAU